CACAGGAAAGUGACAAAGAGUCUCAAAUGUUUUAAAUUUGUUACUAAGAAAUUUAUUGAUAUGUUUUUAAGGGACUUCUAAAAAUGUUGUUUGAAAUUUCUUGGUUUUUGUUUUUAUAAAAGUGUCAGAGUUUCAAAGUGUAUUAUUUUUCAAAGCCAUUUAGUUUUGCUUUAGUGGAUAGGCUGUAAAGUGACUGGGAUUUUUUGUCUUUUGGUACCAAGGUUGCUUAACCACUUAGCCACAUCAGAGCCAUUUUUGAAUAUUGUUUAGAGAUGGUCUGGCUAAGUUGUUUAGCACCUCUCUUUGCUGAGGCUGGCUUUGCACUCAUGUUCCUCCUGCUGUAUUCUUUUGAACUGUUGGGAUUACAGGCAUGCACCACCGCUCUGGGCUAUGACUGGGAUUUUUGCUUGUAGAAAGUAAUGAUCAUCAGUCUUCCAGAGGAUCUUUCUAGCCUUGGCUGUCGCAGUAGGCAGGAGCAAGUCUCAAUAUACCAGGCCUAUGCCCACUCUCCUAAGUUGCUGCUGAGCCAAAUCACAUCUUACAAAGGAAGUGAAGUCAGAAGUGGGCAGUGUGGGAAAUUGGUAAGGAACAGGACUUGCCUGUGUCCCUCCAGGGUCUCCACAGAAAAUAUAGUCCUGCCAGCUAGUUGUGCUGGCCCUGCUCUCUCCAGACACCACAGCCAUUCUGUAAAGGAGACACAGCCAGAAUCAGCCAGGGCCGGGCCCGCCUGCUUGUGCUAAUACACUAUCCACAUAGACAAUGGCCUGACAUGGUCCCCAUUACCCAAUUUGAGUUCCACAGGCCCACUAGUCUCAGGCCUCUGUCUUUGGCUGCUGUUUUGCUAUGAGAGAAUUACAAUUUUUAAGUUGAAUUGGACCCCAGGUUACAUUCACCCUAACUGGUUUCAGAUAAGGGUGACGAGACUGCUUAAACUCAUUUCUUGCAGGUCAAACUAUCACUCAGUACUUAUACCCACAACUUUAUUUAAAUUAAAUUAAUAUGUAGGAGUAGCAAAGGCCAAGCCACAGAAAGGACACCAGCUUCUUCAGUAAAAUUGGUAUUAAUCUGACCAAACUAAACAAGGUAUUACUUAGUUUUCAAGAUGGAAUUUCUGGGUAAGCAGGAUUAAUUUAAAAUGAAUAAAAUUUCUUCAACACCUUCAUUUCUGAAUUAUGGGUCUAGAACAUCAGAAAAUAUUUUAGUCAUUAUGGGGCUUACUAACUCUAAUGGCAAAGGCUAACUUUAACAUUCUUCCAUAUUGUUUAAAUUUUCUUAUAAAAUUAAAUCCAAUAGCAAUUGACAAACUUGCUAGACCACUCCUGAAAUGUCUCAUUUAGGAAAGAAAGAGAGGAAGCAGUUGCAUUAUAUCUAGAGGUACAUUAGAUUUUUACCUCCCCUCCCCCAAGAAUAAUAUGUCCUUGACUCCAUCAAUCUCAAGUAGGCAAGUAACAGUAUAAUGUUUUUUAUUAGCUCUCUUUCUUUCCUUCCUUCCUUCCUUCCUUCCUUCCUUCCUUCCUUCCUUCCUUCCUUCCUUCCUUUCUUUCUUUCUUUCUUUCUUUCUUUCUUUCUUUCUUUCUUUCUUGAUCAAAAAACCCCAGCUAUUUGCUUGUAUGUACAAAAUGCUUGUUUCAAAUUAUAGAAUAGUCAUGAUUUGACCACAGCACUGCACAUCUGAAAAUCCAGGUACAUUAGCUUGAAAGGAGAUAUUAUCAGUCUAUAUUAAAGGUAUUGUGUUUAUUUGAAUAAAAGUGAAAAGAACAACCCCAAAUAAAACAAAACACAGAUUUGUAAGAGUCUGAUGUGUUCAGGAAACAGUUGCUAUUGCUGUUUCCUAAAAUGACUGUGUCUAUCUAAUGAGGUCUAACAAUGAAGGUAGACCUCCAAAUGUGGGGACUUCAUAGUCUAAGGUAAGGCUUUUGAACUUUCUAAUAUAGCUAAAUGAUUCCCAAUUCUGAAUUACAGAGGUGCAUGGGAAGUUUUGAAACAAUAACUGUACUUAUGGUUUAUAAAUUUCAGAAUUUUUUAAAUAACUUUAUGUAUAUUAUGGUAGGAAAAUACAUUUUAUUUUUAAAUAAAAUGUUCAAGUUAUAAAACUAAAGAAAACCAGACUCAGGUAGCCAAAGGUCAAAUUCUUUUUCUUUUAUGGUAAAGCUAGAGGGAAAUAAAGUUCAAAAUGGGGGAUCCAUGAAAAUUAGAAGAGAGUUCAGUGUAGGAGAAGAAGAGAAUGGAGGAGGACAUUGGCGGCACAUGAAAUAUGAGUAACUGCAGGAUGAAAUUGACGAAAUUAUACUAAGUACAUAUAUGAAUAUAUUAGAGUGAAUUCAAUCUUAUAUAAAGAAGUAAACAAAAAAUAACAAAAUAUAAGGGAGAAAAGUAGAGUAGAGGCAGGGGAG
rnacentral:lncRNA from 1 species